rnacentral:lncRNA from 1 species
AUAAAUUUUUUGGUAAACCUGAAAUUGGCUUCUAUGGUUUAGCUCAUUUUCACCUAUGUGGUUAAAAAAGUUUCACUUUAAAAUUUUGAGACUUAAAUUUUAUUUUACCAAAAAAUUCUAUAUGAAUUAGGAUGGCAAAUCAAAAGUUUUUAAUAAACUAUAGGACGGCAAAGUGAAAAAUGUACUAAAUUACAAGAAGGCAAAGUGUAACUUUUUGAACCAUUGGAUAGCAAAGUGAAAAUAAGUUAAAACACAGGAAGGCAAAGUGACAUUAUUUAAAACACAAGAUCACAAACUAGGGGUGCAUUUAACAUUUGAUAUUCUUAAAAUUUAUUUAACAUAGAUGAUCUCAACAUAUAGGAGAUCUCUAUAUAUAGAUUUGUAUACAAUCUCUAAAAUAUUAUAAUUAAAAAAAAGUCUAAUUCUUACGAAAUAUUAUAAUUAAAAAAAUAUAAUUCUUACGCGUCUGCAAAAAUCAGCAAUGUUUGCUUCUAAAGUUUAUUAUAUUAGGUAUAAAACAUUGUAAUUUUCAUAGAUGGAUCUUUUAAUGGUGUAGAUAAUGUUGNAAUUAAAUUACACACAGGAACAUCGUCAACAGAGAGUCUAAUUGCACUGUCAAAAUCUCAGUCCUUAUAUUAUUGGCCUUCAAGUGACAUAGAAGAUGGAAAGCCACCUAUCUUUUUGCAAGUGAAUAAUUUAAGGAGUUUUUCAAUUAAUAGCGAAAUUAAUAAGUUUAUUAGUUUUCCUCUUUAUAAUGGAUCUUUUCAUCUUCCACUUGAAAUAUUAAAGAAAUAAAUAAAAUUAUGUCAUUAACUAUAAAUUUUUGGGUAAACCUCAAAUUGGCCUGUAUGGUUUAGCUCAUUUUCAUCCAUGUGGUUAAAAAAGUUUUACCUUAAAUUCUUCUAGCUUAAAUUUUAUUUACCAAAAAAUUCUAUAUGAAUUAGAGUGGCAAAACAAAAGUUUUUAAUAAACUAUAGGAUGACAAAGUGAAAAAUGCACUAAGUCACAAGAGGGUAAAGUGUAACUUUUUGAACCAUUGGAUAGCAAAUUGAAAAUAAGUUAAAACACAAGGAAGCAAAGUGAUAUUGUUUGACGCACAAGAUCGCAAACUAGGGGUGCAUUUAAAUUUUGAUAUUCUUAAAAUUUAAUUUAACAUAUAUGAUCUCAACAUAUAGGAGAUCUUUAUAUAUGGUGUGACGCAUUGGACCUUGCAAAUUGUGGGGUUCGAGUGAUUAAUUGUGUUUCGAGCUUUUCCAGACUUUCUGGUGCGUCGUUGACAGUGUUCCGACCUAUGGUUCGAGUCCCGAGAAUUGUGGUUUGAAACGGUGUACCAAAAUCCAAAAAGUUGGAUUUUUGGUUAGCUCUCGGGUAGCCUUCAGCAGGCUGCGUACCGGUACGGGUUCGCUUGCUGUACCGGUACGUGAUCGAUUGCUGUACCGGUACGUGGUUGUGUACCGGUACACAGACCAAUUCCCAGCAAAACCCGAGGCUCGGGUUUGGCUUUUCUUGGGUGGUGUACUGGUACACAAACCCAUGUACCGGUACACAGUGCAGAGUGGGCUGUUUUCGUGGAGGGGUGUUUUUGCAAUUGUUGCAACACCUAUAUAUGACACCCCAGCCCCUUUGUGAGCUCCUUUGAGCCCUAGACCAGUGGAGAAAAGGUGAGAACUCCUCCCCUAUGGUUUCUUCUCCAUUUUUGUUAGGUUUUUNUGCAUUUAAAUUUUGAUAUUCUUAAAAUUUAAUUUAACAUAUAUGAUCUCAACAUAUAGGAGAUCUCUAUAUAUGGAUUUGUAUACAAUCUCUUAAAUAUUAUAAUUAAAAAAAAAUCUAAUUCUUAUGCGUUUGCGAAAAUCAGCAAUAUUGAUUCUAAAGUUUAUUAUAUUAGGUAUAAAACAUUGUAAUUUUCAUAGAUGGAUCUUUUAAUGGUGUAGAUUAUAUUGAUUUGGAUUUAAAUUUUAAAAUUUUUAAAAAUCAAUUAGAAUUGAACAUUAUAUUAGUUCUUUUGAGCAUUUCUUUUU